GUAUAGUAGUGAGGCUGUGUUGUAGUAUAGUAGGGAGGUUGUAGUGAGGCUGAGCGUGUAGAGGUUGUGUUGUAGUAUAGUAGUGAGGUUGUGUUGUAGUAUAGUAGUGAGGCUGUGUUGUAGUAUAGUAGUGAGGCUGUGUUGUAGUAUUGUAGUGAGGCUGAGCGUGUAGAGGUUGGGUUGUAGUAUAGCAGUGAGGUUGUGUUGUAGUAUUGAAGUGAGGCUGAGCAUGUAGAGAUGUUUUUGUAGUUUAGCAGUGAGGUUGUGUUGUAGUAUAGUAGUGAGGUUGUGUUGUAGUAUAGUAGUGAGGCUGAGCAUGUAGAGGUUGUGUUGUAGUAUAGUAGUGAGGUUGUGUUGUAGUAUAGUAGUGAAGCUGAGCAUGUAGAGAUGUUUUUGUAGUUUAGCAGUGAGGUUGUGUUGUAGUAUAGUAGUGAGGUUGUGUUGUAGUAUAGUAGUGAGGCUGAGCAUGUAGAGAUGUUUUUGUAGUUUAGCAGUGAGGUUGUGUUGUAGUAUAGUAGUGAGGUUGUGUUGUAGUAGUGAGGCUGAGCAUGUAGAGAUGUUUUUGUAGUUUAGCAGUGAGGUUGUGUUGUAGUAUAGUAGUGAGGUUGUGUUGUAGUAGUGAGGCUGAGCAUGUAGAUGUUGUGUUGUAGCGAGGCUGAGAGUAGGUUGAGUAGGUUGUGAUGUAGUCUAGUAGUGAGGCUGACCAUGUAGAGGUGUUGUUGUAGUGUAGUAUAGUACGGAGGUUGUGUUGUAGUAUAGUAGUGAGGUUGUGAUGUAGUGAGGCUGAGAGACGGUUGUGAAGUUGUGCACAGUAGUCUUGUUUAAAACUGCAAGAUGGAGUGAGGUCAGGCCUGGUCUCAUUCAUAUUGUAUGAGGAGACUGCAGACUGAGGAGAAACACUUUGCUGCAUGUCUCAACCCGAAGGAUGGAGGACUGAUGCUUCUCCAUCGAUCCACGCAGGGAAAUUAUUUUGCCCAUGAGACAAUUUACAAACGAUGAAGUCCCGGUCGUGCAUACUUUAAGUGGAAAUUAAAAACGUACAUAUGCAUAGUAUAGAGAAAUAAGCCACAUUGCACAUGUUGUAGUAUAUUGAGAUCUUCGUGUCCAGCUCUCACUGGACUGACGAUCCAUGUGGACAUCGAUUUCAACCAGACCUCGUACAUCACUGCGGGGGUUUAGUUAGACCAAUAGCACGAGGGAAUACUGGGUCUGUGGUCAGGCUGGACCAAUAGCAGCUAAGCAUCCUGGUACUGAUGUCAGGCUGGACCAAUAGCAGCUAAGCAUCCUGGAUCUUGGGUCAGGCUAGACCAAUAGCAGCUAAGCAUCCUGGAUCUUGGGUCAGGCUGGACCAAUGGCAGCAAAGCCUCUUGGGUCUGCGAUCAGGCUCGACCAAUGGAAAGCUGGGGUCCUUGGUAUGGAUGGACCAAUAGCAGCCUAGCAUCCUGUAUCUGGGGUCGGGCUGGGCCAAUAGCAUGUUUGGGUCCUGGACCUGUUCUGUGGUGAAUCACUCUGGUGUUUUUCCGCUAUUCUCUUCCCUUGAAAACAAAGUGUUUGCUCAUAUGGUGGACGUGUGUUUUUUGUCUCCUCCGGAGCUGGCCGGGCGGGGUUAGUGACGUAGGGUGGGGUUAGUGACUCAGUGGAGAGGCCAUAAAGUCAAGGAAAUCACAGGAACGCCUCUGAACUCUUGAUGUGUUGGGAUGGCGUAUCCAGAGGACUAACAUAACCCAAACGUACGUGUGUGUGUGUGUGUGUGUGUGUGUGUGUGUGUGUGUGUGUGUGUGUGUGUGUGUGUGUGUGUGUGUGUGUGUGUGUGUGUGUGUGUGUGUGUGUGUGUGUGUGUGUGUGUGUGUGUGCGCUCUCUGUC